rnacentral:lncRNA from 1 species
CCCAAUAUUUGCCGAACUCUUUGUCUAUCCAAAUCGUUUGCUUGGUGAAGUAACUAAUUAAUUAAGCAUAGAGGAUUAGAACGUUUCCAGUUGAGACAUAAAUCUUGGAAUAGAGCCUAUGUUGGCAUAAAACUUUAUUACACUUCCCGAAUGAGAAAGUUUAUUAAUUAAAAUACCGUUUGUCUGUUUUCCGGUCGAGAAAACGAUGGUGAAAUGGCAGUCGCGUUUAAUGCAGUGGACGAUAACAGACAGAACAUAUUUUUGACUUUUUUGUUUAAUAUUGUUGCAGUUUGCUUGAAUUUUUCAACGUAUCAUAAAGGAAAG